UACGGAGGGUGCAAGCGUUAUCCGGAUUCACUGGGUUUAAAGGGUGCGUAGGCGGCUAUAUAAGUCAGUGGUGAAAGCCCGCAGCUCAACUGCGGAACUGCCAUUGAAACUGCAUAGCUUGAAUCUGGUUGAAGUGGGCGGAAUACAUCAUGUAGCGGUGAAAUGCUUAGAUAUGAUGUAGAACACCGAUUGCGAAGGCAGCUCACUAAGCCAACAUUGACGCUCAUGCACGAAAGCGUGGGGAGCAAACAGG
rnacentral:rRNA from 1 species